rnacentral:rRNA from 1 species
GACGAACGCUGGCGGCGUGCCUAAUACAUGCAAGUAGAACGCUGAAGGAGGAGCUUGCUUCUCUGGAUGAGUUGCGAACGGGUGAGUAACGCGUAGGUAACCUGCCUGGUAGCGGGGGAUAACUAUUGGAAACGAUAGCUAAUACUGCAUAAGAGUAGAUGUUGCAUGACAUUUGCUUAAAAGGUGCAAUUGCAUCACUACCAGAUGGACCUGCGUUGUAUUAGCUAGUUGGUGGGGUAACGGCUCACCAAGGCGACGAUACAUAGCCGACCUGAGAGGGUGAUCGGCCACACUGGGACUGAGACACGGCCCAGACUCCUACGGAAGGCAGCAGUAGGGAAUCUUCGGCAAUGGACGGAAGUCUGACCGAGCAACGCCGCGUGAGUGAAGAAGGAUUUCGGAUCGUAAAGCUCUGUUGUAAGAGAAGAACGAGUGUGAGAGUGGAAAGUUCACACUGUGACGGUAUCUUACCAGAAAGGGACGGCUAACUACGUG